rnacentral:antisense_RNA from 17 species
GUCAAUGGUGGGUCGGGGCGUGGGAGCCUUACGGCUCGCCAGUCGUCAUUAGCUGGUACUGCAAACCAUGUUCCGAUUCACCACCAAA